GGGUGAGAAACGGAGGCCUUCAGCCAACAGCUGGGAGAAGCUGAGUCCCAUCAGCCAUUCAAAAGACUGCAGCCCCAGCCAAGAGUUUGAUGUAACCUCAGGAGAGACCCUGAGCCAGAACCACCUAGGAGAUGAUGAGCUCCUGGGCAAGACUGAGGUUUGUGUCAUUUUGCAUCCCCAGCACCGAGAAGAGUACCUGGCACUUAUUGGUGCGCAGACAAUGUUUACUGCAUGAUUAGAAGGUUUAACUGGAAAAACCUACUAACCUCUGGCCAACGAGCUAUACCUAGUGAUUCCAAAGUCCACAUAUAUUUACUCUGUUCUCACUGUACAAAGUAACCACUCUGAAGUCAAAAAAGCUGGGAUACAUGAAGACUGCCAUCCCUUGAGUCACUUGCCCUGUAGCUGCCACUGUUGGAAAAGGGCUUGCUUCUGUGUCCUUGUGCCCACUUUGAAAAUCCCUGGGAAGUCCUUGGAGUCAGAUGAGCAGGCCUCCGCCACUCUGCCAAAAAGUCUGUUCACAGGAAGUUUCACAUCACUAGAGAAGAGAGAAGAAGGACAUUUGUACUGGGAGGAGUCGACCGGUCCCAGUAAGGAGAAAGUAGCUACAGCGUCAUGGGUGAGCUGGGUCCCCCAAAAAGGAACUUUAAGGGAAUGGACUGAAUCAAGUCUGAGAUGUCCCCAAAGCAAGACCAAAGAACUGAGGAAGAGAAGCAUUCAUCAGAAACCAAAAUUCAGCUACAAGUGAGCAUCCAGAUGGAGGUAUUAUGAAGAGGAACUGAGACUGAGGGCAAAAGGUGCCAGCCAGAAUCCUGGAUAGGAGAGCAAGAACCAGGACCUCAUUUAAGAGACAACCUGCUUAAGGCAGAGUAAGCACAAAUGGGCACUCAACAUCAAUGAAGUAACAGCAAAGUCACAUAAUAAAAGCAUGGAAUUAAGACAAGCUGAAGAUUCGGAUGCAAUAAAACAACCACCCAUUAU
rnacentral:lncRNA from 1 species